UACGUAGGGUGCGAGCGUUGUCCGGAAUUACUGGGCGUAAAGGGCUCGUAGGCGGCCAACUAAGUCGGACGUGAAAUCCCCAGGCUUAACCUGGGAACUGCAUCCGAUACUGGAUGGCUUGAACUCCGGGAGAGGGAUGCAGAAUUCCAGGUGUAGCGGUGAAAUGCGUAGAUAUCUGGAGGAACACCGGUGGCGAAGGCGGCAUCCUGGACCGGUAUUGACGCUGAGGCGCGAAAGCCAGGGGAGCAAAGCGGGAUUAAGAAACCCGUAGUAGU
rnacentral:rRNA from 1 species